CCUACGGGGGGCUGCAGUGGGGAAUAUUGGGCAAUGGGCGAAAGCCUGACCCAGCGACGCCGCGUGGGCGAUGAAGGCCUUCGGGUUGUAAAGCCCUGUCAUGCGGAAAGAACGACCCUGUGAUGAAUAAUCGCAGGGAGUGACGGUACCGCAGGAGGAAGCACCGGCUAACUCCGUGCCAGCAGCCGCGGUAAUACGGAGGGUGCAAGCGUUGUUCGGAAUUAUUGGGCGUAAAGGGCGCGUAGGCGGUAAUGUAAGUCAGAUGUGAAAUACUCCGGCUCAACCAGAGAACUGCAUCUGAAACUACAUAACUAGAGUACAGAAGAGGGAAACGGAAUUCCCGGUGUAGAGGUGAAAUUCGUAGAUAUCGGGAGGAACACCAGUGGCGAAGGCGGUUUCCUGGUCUGAUACUGACGCUGAGGCGCGAAAGUGUGGGGAGCAAACAGGAUUAGAUACCCCUGUAGUCAAU
rnacentral:rRNA from 1 species